UACUGCGCAGGCGCCAUGAUCCGAAGUCGGGCACCAAGUCAUCCGGGUUAGGAACCCUGCGCCGGCCCAAGUCGCUGGCCACUUCCCUGCUGACGCUGACUUUUGAAAAAGGAGCUGGAAAGAAGAGCCUUGGCUUCAGCAUCGUGGGCGGACGAGAUUCUCCAAAAGGCAGCAUAGGAAUAUUUGUCAAGACGGUGUUUCAGAAUGGUCAAGCAGCUGGUAAACUCAUAGAAGGCGAUGAAGUGCUGACUCUCAACGGAGAGAGCAUGCAGGGACUCCUUCACAGCGAGGCUGUGACCCUGUUCAAGUCGGUCCGGUCGGGUCAGGUCACGCUCGAGGUGGCUCGCAGAGAAGGCACGGCAAGUUCCAGGCAAUUGAUGUCGAAGUCCUGUGAUAAUCUUCUGAGGGUCCAAGAAUGAUCCACCGCUGUCAACAUUCUACGGCACCCUUCACUUCGUGAGCUUUGGUAGCCAGCUAUCCGCGGGCCGAGGAGCCGGGUCUUCGGGCGAUUCCCCGGUAGCUGGCAGCUGAGCAUCCGCUCCUGUCCGCGGGCCGAGGAGCCGGCUCGUCAGACUAUUCCCCGGUGGCUGGCAGCUGGGCGCUCGCUCCUGUCCGCGGGCCAAGGAGCCGGCUCUCCAGACUGUUCCCCGGUGGCU